rnacentral:rRNA from 1 species
GACGAACGCUGGCGGCGUGCUUAACACAUGCAAGUCGAACGAAGAGCGACGGAAGCUUGCUUCUAUCAAUCUUAGUGGCGAACGGGUGAGUAACGCGUAAUCAACCUGCCCUUCAGAGGGGGACAACAGUUGGAAACGACUGCUAAUACCGCAUACGAUCUAAUCUCGGCAUCGAGGAUAGAUGAAAGGUGGCCUCUACAUGUAAGCUAUCACUGAAGGAGGGGAUUGCGCCUGAUUAGCUAGUUGGAGGGGUAACGGCCCACCAAGGCGAUGAUCAGUAGCCGGUCUGAGAGGAUGAACGGCCACAUUGGGACUGAGACACGGCCCAGACUCCUACGGGAGGCAGCAGUGGGGAAUCUUCCGCGAUGGACGAAAGUCUGACGGAGCAACGCCGCGUGAGUGAUGACGGCCUUCGGGUUGUAAAGCUCUGUUAAUCGGGACGAAAGGCCCUUCUUGCGAAACAAGUAGAAAGG